GCUUAAUACAUGCAAGUCGUACGCUGAUGCUCAGCUUGCUGGGUGGAUGAGUGGCGAACGGGUGAGUAACACGUGAGUAAUCUGCCCUUUUCUUUGGGAUAACGUGCGGAAACGUGCGCUAAUACUGAAUAUUCGCAUCUUUGCCGCAUGGUGGGGUGGGGAAAGGAUCUUUAUGGUCUGGGAGGGGAUGGGCUCGCGGCCUAUCAGUUUGUUGGUGGGGUGAUGGCCUACCAAGGCGUGGACGGGUAGCCGGCCUGAGAGGGUGUUCGGUCACACUGGGACUGAGAUACGGCCCAGACUCCUACGGGAGGCAGCAGUGGGGGAUUUUGCACAAUGGACGUAAGUCUGAUGCAGUGACGCCGCGUGGGGGAUGGAGGCCUUCGGGUUGUAAACCUCUUUCGCCAUCGACGAAGCCGAUCUUUGGGUGGGUGACGGUAGGUGGAGAAGAAGCACCGGCCAACUACGUGCCAGCAGCCGCGGUAAUACGUAGGGUGCGAGCGUUGUCCGGAUUUAUUGGGCGUAAAGAGCUCGUAGGUGGUUUGUCGCGUUGGUCGUGUAAUCUUGCAGCUUAACUGUGGGUCUGCGGCUGGUACGGGCAGGCUGGAGUGCAGUAGGGGAGACUGGAAUUCCUGGUGUAGCGGUGAAAUGCGCAGAUAUCAGGGGGAACACCGGUGGCGAAGGCGGGUCUCUGGGCUGUUACUGACGCUGAGGAGCGAAAGCGUGGGGAGCGAACAGGAUUAGAUACCCUGGUAGUCCACGCUGUAAACGGUGGGCGCUAGGUGUGGGGGGCUUUUAUGUUUUCUGUGCCGUAGCUAACGCUUUAAGCGCCCCGCCUGGGGAGUACGGCCGCAAGGCUAAAACUCAAAGGAAUUGACGGGGGCCUGCACAAGCGGCGGAGCAUGCGGCUUAAUUCGAUGCAACGCGAAGAACCUUACCAGGAUUUGACAUACACCCUGUUCCUGCAGAGAUGUGGGGUCAUUUGGUUGGGGGUGUACAGGUGGUGCAUGGUUGUCGUCAGCUCGUGUCGUGAGAUGUUGGGUUAAGUCCCGCAACGAGCGCAACCCUUGUCCUAUGUUGCCAGCGGGUGAUGCCGGGGACUCAUGGGAGACUGCCGGGGUGAACUCGGAGGAAGGUGGGGAUGAGGUCAAAUCAUCAUGCCCUUUAUGUCCUGGGCUGCACGCAUGCUACAAUGGCCGGUACAAAAAGUUGCGAUGCCGUGAGGUGGAGCGGAUCUUUUUUUAAAGCCGGUCUCAGUUCGGAUCGAAGUCUGCAACUCGACUUUGUGAAGGUGGAGUCGCUAGUAAUCGCAGAUCAGCAGUGCUGCGGUGAAUACGUUCUCGGGCCUUGCACACACCGCCCGUCACA
rnacentral:rRNA from 1 species